rnacentral:rRNA from 1 species
GAUGAACGCUGGCGGCGUGCUUAACACAUGCAAGUCGAACGAGAAGUGAAGACGGAAACCUUCGGGCGGAAGGCUUUAUUUCGAGUGGCGGACGGGUGAGUAACGCGUGGGUAACCUGCCUCAUACAGGGGGAUAACAGUUGGAAACGACUGUUAAUACCGCAUAAGACCACACCACCGCAUGGUGCGGGGGUAAAAACUCCGGUGGUAUGAGAUGGACCCGCGUUCGAUUAGCCAGUUGGCGGGGUAACGGCCCACCAAAGCGACGAUCGAUAGCCGAUCUGAGAGGAUGACCGGCCACAUUGGGACUGAGACACGGCCCAAACUCCUACGGGAGGCAGCAGUGGGGAAUAUUGCACAAUGGGGGAAACCCUGAUGCAGCGACGCCGCGUGAGUGAAGAAGUAUUUCGGUAUGUAAAGCUCUAUCAGCAGGGAAGAAAAUGACGGUACCUGAGUAAGAAGCCCCGGCUAACUACGUG